rfam:Trichobilharzia regenti genome assembly, scaffold: TRE_scaffold0036320
AUUCAGCAGGCGGACGAGUCCUAAAUAGGACGAAAUGCGCAUCAUGGAU